CAUUAAAGAGUUCUAUAACUCCCAAACCCAUGUGAACAUACCUAACGUUGCCUCGGCAGGUCGCACCUACCUUGUAGCACCUUACCCUGUAAGGCCUACCCGGGAGGUGCGGGUAAGCCUGCCGGCGGCCCACCAAACUCUGUUUGAUAUUGAAUUCUGAACCUAUAACUAAAUAAGUUAAAACUUUCAACAACGGAUCUCUUGGUUCUGGCAUCGAUGAAGAACGCAGCGAAAUGCGAUAAGUAAUGUGAAUUGCAGAAUUCAGUGAAUCAUCGAAUCUUUGAACGCAUAUUGCGCCCAUUAGUAUUCUAGUGGGCAGGACCGUUCGAGCGUCAUUUCAACCCUUAAGCCUUCGUUGCUUAGUGUUGGGAGCCUACGGCAACGUAGCUCCUCAAAGUUAGUGGCGGAGUUGGUUCACACUCUAGACGUAGUAAUUUUUUAUCUCGCCUAUUAGUUGGACUAAUCCCCUGCCGUAAAACCCCCAAUUUAUCAAGGUUGACCUCGAAUCGGUUCAGACAAACUCGCUAAAUUGAAGCAUCUUAGUCAGCGAAGGAAAAGAAACCAACAGGGAUUGCCCUAGUAACGGCGAGUG
rnacentral:rRNA from 1 species